GCAUGUGUUAAAUUGAUGGAAAGGGAGAGGAUGCUUUACUAGUGUAUAUAUGUGUGUAUUAGCCAAGUUUUGAACUUGAAACAAAAUGGUGUUUAGUCAAUACAAGUGACCAUACUUGUAGAAUGUAUUAAGUGUUGCAAUCGGCCCCAACAUAGACAUGUAUGUUCGGCCACAUGAAUAAGUACAUAAGUUAUGUGUAUGUUCGGCCAUAGGUAGCCUAUUGAUGGCUUUAGCUUGACUUAGAAAAUUCGACUAAGGGGAAAUAUUAGCUAGUAUGUUGAAUUCGAUUCGUGAUUUCGUACAUAUGUGACUCUAAUGUCUAAUGUAUAUAUGGGCUAAGUACCUUGAGCUUCUCUUUUGAUGUUCGAAUGAAUUGUAUUAAAUUGCUUGAUGUGAUUAAAAAUGCGUAUGACCAUUGUGUAUUUGAGCUAAAAGGUGGCCAUAUGACCUAUCAAACUCCUUGUCAUAUUCGGCCAUAAGCUAGCAAAAUGAGACUUUAAUGAGUUAAAUUUGUUUGAAUUAGCUCAAGAGCUUAGAGGACCACAGUUGGAUAAGGGAAAGGAAAAAGUGAUCGAAUAGCUGUCGAAAUCGCUCGACCACAUCUGAGG
rnacentral:lncRNA from 1 species